UAAACUUGAAAAAGCUGAGGCAAACAGGUUGAAAAGAGAAAGCGAAAAGGCAGCGGAAAACAUGGAGAAAAAAUAAGGAAGAUAUGAAUAUUUUGAGUGAAGCAUCUUCCUCUAUUUCUUAUUUUCUGUUUGUGUUGCCCUUAUCUUUCCAAAGUUGUAUUUAUA
rnacentral:ribozyme from 1 species